rfam:Camelus ferus unplaced genomic scaffold scaffold75, whole genome shotgun sequence.
GAGGGUAUAGCUCAGUGAUAGAGCAAGGGCUUAGCAUACAUGAGGUCCUGGGUUCAAUCCCCAGUCCCUCCA